rnacentral:lncRNA from 10 species
AUGGAGCAUGAUGAAUGUGGCUGAAACAUUCUGCAUCUCGUACUUUGAUAAAUUUACCUGUAUAUCAGGCAGAAUGUUCUCUGGUCAGACCAGUACUUGGAGCAAAAGAGGGAAGAGGAAAGGCCCACCUGGGCCCUGAUAUCCUGGGACACACAGCUUGGUGGCCUGGUGGCCUGGCUUAUACCUGAUUCCUCCCCAGAGGCCAGCAGGAUUGUCCAGAGGACCAGUGAUAAUAAGGAUUUAUGAGGGAGGAGAGGCCCUGCAGAAGAUAACACUACAAUAACAUUCUGUGUUUAUAUUGGGCAAAGGGGACAGGACACAUUUUCUACAAGCGCAAACUUCAGGAUGGAAAUGUUAAUACCUUGUAUUUGUAGAGUGCAUUGGAGCUUGUGAGUCACCUUCACACACAAGAACUCAUCUAUUAGGCUCCUCAUCUGUGAAGGUUCCCAGGUUCCUGAUCCCAGAAGAUGUCCCUGCGGUGGUUCCACCUUCCACCAGCUUCUGCCAGAUCCUGGACUCCAGGAACACUGCCCCCUUCAGGCCAACUUUUUGGACUUCCUCACUGUCUUCUGAGCCCCCAGGUCUUCCAACACUUUUGCAGCCACUUCCCUGUAUUAAAUGCCCUCUGUUUGAAAUAUCUAGAAUAAUUUUCAUUUUCAUGGUUGGACUGAUUCACCACUUUCCCUCCCACUCAAAUUCAGUAAGAUCUACUAUCUUAUGACAGAUAUCUACCCACUCAUUGCUUCCCGAUGCAGACAUAAACUUGGAUCCCAGGCCGUGGAAGAGCAGGUCAAGGUUUGCUCCUUAGAAUUGUUGCUUUGGUGACAUGUGGAGAAGGAUGGUGGUUGCUGAGACUAGAGGAGACUUGUUGAGAGACAAUUGCAAUGAUUCAAGAGGGAGAGGACAAAGGUGUAAAGUCAGACUGUUUCACUGCAGAGGUAGAGUGGGGAAAGGGACACGAGAGAUGCAGAAGAGGCAGAAUCAGGUCCCUGAUUGGAUGGGGCAUUUUGGGAAGAUGAAGGAGGCUGGAAUGAUUCCCAGGUUCCUCCAGAGUGAAUGGAUGGCACUUGUGUUCUUGACUGAGCUUGAGGACACAAGAAGAGGGGCAGCAGAUCUAGAUGGCUAGGAAGAUCAUGAGUUUGUGGCACGUUGAGUUUGGGGGGCAUGUUGUACUCAGGAAAGGGCAGGAGAGAGAUGGUUUAAUGUCACAGCAUAGGUGAUAAGAGAUCUAUGGAUAUAUAGGUGAAAUCCCCGGGAGAUGUGGAUAGAAAAGAGUUAAAGGCAGAACAUGGAAGAGCCUCAACAUGGACAGAGAAGGCAGAGGACUGAGUUGGAACAGCCCGAGAGCUCAGAGGAGAGCCAGGGAAGAGCAACAUCAUGGAGGCCAAGGGAGAGCAUGGUUCAAAAAGGGAAUGGUCACUGUGUCAAAGCCUGCUUUUAAAGCAAACUAAAUAUGGCCUGAGAAGGACUCCAUACUUCUAUAUUUGAGUCCUUGUGGAUGAACUGUAACCUAGCUUAAUAGGCAGACAAAAUUGAAACCCUAACUUCACAGUAUGCACCUGUAACAAUAGCUAAGUCUUGGCCAAUCCCAGCGGCCAUACUUCAACCAUUCAUACACUGCUGAGUGUUCAAACUGUGUUCAAAUAAGUCAAAUGCCAGCCUGUAACCAAUCCAACCACUCUGUACCUCACUUCCAAUUUCUGUACGUCAUUUCUCUCUUUUUUGUCUAUAAAUCUUCUUUCACCACGUGGCUGUGCUUGAGUCUCUGUGAAUCUGCUGUGAUUCUGGGGGCUGCCUGAUUCACAUAUCAUUCAUUGCUCAAUUAAACUGCUUUAAAUUUAAUUCGACUGCAGUUUUUCUUUUAUCACUGCACAAUGGCCAAGAAGGAUCAGUCACAGGAAUUGACUGCUAGGAGGAUAUGUACAGAUGUGGGUAAGUGACAGAUGUAGAUACUCAAGCUUGAAUAAGUUUAUGCCUGAUGGCUACACACACACACACUCUCUCUCUCUCUCUGUGUCUCACACAAACACACACACACAGACACCUGUUUAGAGUUAUAUUUUAGGCAAGAAAGAUGGUAUCUAUUAUACAUCAUCUGGUUGCUCUAGUCUAGAGGAAAAGAGUGAGCAGAUUUUGGUUGGCUUUUUCAUUUUCUUCUCUACACACAUGUAAC